GUCGUUCGCCAAUAUCAAAUUUCAUAACGACUCUCGGCAACGGAUAUCUCGGCUCUCGCAUCGAUGAAGAACGUAGCGAAAUGCGAUACUUGGUGUGAAUUGCAGAAUCAUGUGAAUCAUCGAGUCUUUGAACGCAAGUUGCGCCCGAAGCCGUCAGGUUGA
rnacentral:rRNA from 2 species